GAAAAGCCCUGGAAGGAUCGGCCUUUUACAAACUUCGGCUGGGGAUAGUUUAUACCCAACAAGUACCAUCCUAUUACAAUGUCAGUACGUGGUUUAGCAUAAUACGAGAUGGCAUUCCGAGUGUCGGUAUAGUAUGAGACACCAUAUUGGUACGAUACAAUACAGUACGGGUGUAAUGAAUAGUUCGGUCUGGUAUGGCAUUCCAUACGGGAAAGUAAAUUUUACUGCUUCAUUUAUUGCACUU
rnacentral:lncRNA from 1 species